rnacentral:lncRNA from 1 species
AAAGCAUUUUCCUUUGCUGAUCUCUAGCCCAAGGAUACAAAAAUCCUUCAGCUCUUCAUCACAAUCAUCUCUCCUUAUCUCUUGUUAAAGGUGUUGACCUUCAUCCAUGCUGAACUUACCCCCAGAAAUAGCUGUAUGCAGUGAUUCUGAGAUAAUCUGAAGGUAGGGAGUUCAUUGAUAAUAAUGAUCAAGCUUAUAUUUCUAAUAUAUAGCACUAUUCAUCAUGAAGAAUCCC